CGGGAGAUGAGUCUGAGAGUUGGAGCAAAAACCUCCGAAAUAUGGGGAUAUUUCAGGCCAACUGAAAGCAGUCCGCCGUCUUCACAACUCUGAGACAAACUGUAGCAGGUGCUACGAACCGGAGCAAGGACUAACCUUGCCUCAUAACGAGGCUGUGACCUAUAUUUGCUCGGAGCUGUCUGCAAGUCCAGAUUUACAUGACGCUGAUAAUGACGCCAUUGUGUCUGCCUGUAAGACAUAUCACCAGACAGCACGCAGGAGCUUCAGCUAGAAACAACCAGAUGUGGCAUCGCGGGCAGAAGCUGUGAAGAGUUCAGCUCGGAGUCGGUCGAGAAGAAAAGAGGCUGCUGGAAGCGAGACAGUGCUGGCUGCGGGUGAGGUGGCAUUUGGAAGUGCGCCACCAUAGACCUACAGGAUAACGCACCACAGACGUCUGAAAAAUGCACCGAAUUCAGACCGAAUGCUGCCGGUUACCUACAGCUCCGAGGCGGCCGUGGGUUAGGUGUGGACGGUGCUGCUUCUCGUGAGCGUGGGAUAUUUAUUGUGUGUGCUGUAU